rnacentral:rRNA from 1 species
CCUACGGGGGGCAGCAGUGAGGAAUAUUGGACAAUGGGGGCAACCCUGAUCCAGCAACGCCGCGUGGAGGAUGAAGGUCUUUGGAUUGUAAACUCCUUUUCUUGGGGAAGAGCAAGGACGGUACCCGAGGAAUCAGUCACGGCUAACUACGUGCC